UUACGGCCAUAUCACAUUGAAACACCUGUUCUCGUACUAUCACCGAAGUUAAGCAACGUCGAGUUUGGUAAGCACCUAAAUGAGUGACUGCAUGUGAAUUCCAGGUGCUGUAAG